rnacentral:rRNA from 1 species
AUGCUGAUUUUAAAGGACGAACAGACCUAUAAAUCAAGCUAUCUACACCUAACUAUUAUCUUAAUCCAACAUCGAGGUCCGCAAGCCUUCCUGUAAAUUUAGAACUCUGGAGGAAGAUUACGCUUGUUAUCCCUAAGGUAACUUGGUCUAAUAAUCAAUAAUAAUGGAUCUAAAAACCAUAAAUAAAUGUAUAAUAAAUAAUAAAAGUUAAUUAUAUAUCUCUUGUCACCCCAACAAAAAAGCCCAAAUAAUAACCCAAAAAAUGGAAUAAAAAUAGUUAAUACAAUAAGCCUUAAAGCUCUAUAGGGUCUUCUCGUCCUACAAAAAAAUUUGAGCCUUUUUAACUCAAAGGUUAAAUUCAAUAAUAUUAAAUUGAGACAGAUAGUACUUCGUCAAACCCUUCAUUCCAGCCUUCUAUUAAAAGACUAAUGAUUAUGCUACCUUUGCACGGUCAAGAUACCGCGGCCGUUAAAAUAAAUUCACUGGGCAGGUAAGACCUCAAAUAAAACACAAGUGGACAUGUUUUUG